UUACGGCCAAAUCACGGUGAAACACCGGUUCCCGUACGAUUACCGAAGUUGAGCAACGUCGAGCCAGGUCAUUACCUAGAUGGGUAAUAGCUUGGGAAUAGGGGGUG